UUUUCGGAUCUAGAGACCGGCGCACGGGUGCGUAACGCGUAUGCAAUCUACCUUUUACAGAGGGAUAGCCCAGAGAAAUUUGGAUUAAUACCUCAUAGUAUUAUGAAAUGGCAUCAUUUUAUAAUUAAAGUCACAACGGUAAAAGAUGAGCAUGCGUCCCAUUAGCUAGUUGGUAAGGUAACGGCUUACCAAGGCAACGAUGGGUAGGGGUCCUGAGAGGGAGAUCCCCCACACUGGUACUGAGACACGGACCAGACUCCUACGGGAGGCAGCAGUGAGGAAUAUUGGACAAUGGGCGCAAGCCUGAUCCAGCCAUGCCGCGUGCAGGAUGACGGUCCUAUGGAUUGUAAACUGCUUUUGUACGAGAAGAAACACUACUUCGUGAAGUAGCUUGACGGUAUCGUAAGAAUAAGGAUCGGCUAACUCCGUGCCAGCAGCCGCGGUAAUACGGAGGAUCCAAGCGUUAUCCGGAAUCAUUGGGUUUAAAGGGUCCGUAGGCGGUUUAGUAAGUCAGUGGUGAAAGCCCAUCGCUCAACGGUGGAACGGCCAUUGAUACUGCUAGACUUGAAUUAUUAGGAAGUAACUAGAAUAUGUAGUGUAGCGGUGAAAUGCUUAGAGAUUACAUGGAAUACCAAUUGCGAAGGCAGGUUACUACUAAUUUGAUUGACGCUGAUGGACGAAAGCGUGGGUAGCGAACAGGAUUAGAUACCCUGGUAGUCCACGCCGUAACGAUGGAUAC
rnacentral:rRNA from 1 species